AGGCGGACAUGCAAGUGUCUUGUGAAAUCCCACGGCUCAACCGUGGAAUUGCGGGGCAAACUGUGUGUCUUGAGGUCGGUAGGGGUUGCCGGAACUCUAGGUGUAGCGGUGAAAUGCGUAGAUAUCAUCAGGAACACCAGUGGCGAAAGCGGCUCACUGGGUCUCUUCUGACGCUGAGGCACGAAAGCUAGGGUAGCGAACGGGAUUAGAUACCCCGGUAGUCCUAGCCGUAAACGUUGAGCACUUGAUUGAGGACCCUCCCAUAGGUUCUUGGUCGAAGCGAAAGUGAUAAGUGCUCCGCCUGGGGAGUAUGGUCGCCAAGGCUGAAACUCAAAGGAAUUGACGGGGGCUCACACAAGCGGUGGAGGAUGUGGCUUAAUUCGAGGCUACGCGAAGAACCUUAUCCAGGGUUUGACAUGCACGGAUUAACUCCCUGAAAGGGGAGCCACAGUUUCGACUGGAACGUGCACAGGUGCUGCAUGGCUGUCGUCAGCUCGUGUCGUGAGAUGUCGGGUUAAGUCCCUUAACGAGCGAAAACCUUAUCUUUAGUUGCCAGCGAGUAAUGUCGGGGACUCUAGAGAGACUGCCGGUGUUAAACCGGAGGAAGGCGGGGAUGACGUCAAGUCUUCAUGGCCUUUAUGCCAUGGGCUGCACACGUCUUACAAUGGCACGUACAGAGGGAAGCAUACUCGUGAGAGUAAGCAAAUCCCAAAAAGCGUGCCCCAGUUCGGAUUG
rnacentral:rRNA from 1 species